UCACUCACUAAGAGACCUUGCGCCGAAGAUAAUCGGGGUUAAGCGUAGUACCGAAGCUGAGGAUUUCUUUCGCCUUCGGGCGAAAGGAGUGGUAGGAGAGCGUUCCAAUCCGCUGUGAAGCCAAAGCCGUGAGGCAUGGUGGAGCGUUUGGAAGUGAGAAUGUUGGCACAAGUAACCGCAAUUUAGGUGAGAAACCUAAACGCCGAAAGACCAAGGUUUCCUUGGCGAUGAUAAUCAGCCAAGGGUUAGUCGGUCCUAAGCCGAUGGCGAUAGCCGCAGGCGAUGGAUGCAUGGUUAAUAUUCCAUGACUUCGAAUAUAUGCGAUGGGAUGACGGAGUGUAGUAUGCAAGGCCAAUUAUUGGAUUUUGGUCGGCAACAUAAGCGUGCGGUCUUGGUAAAUCCGGAUCGCUUUCUUCAAUGGAAAACGCAAGCGUUGUCGCUAUUUUGGGGUUCGCCCUGGGAGAGCUUGCAAAGCACGCUUCCAAGAAAAUUCUCUAAGCUUCAAUAUAUUUGGAACCGUACCGAAAACCGACACAGGUGGUCGCGUCGAGAAGACGAAGGCGAACGAGUGAGUGUUUCCCAAGGAACUAGGCAAAAAAGCAGCCGUAACUUCGGGAUAAGGCUUUCCCGCCCCAGUUUUUGAACUUUUGACAAAAAACUCCGCCUUGCUAGGGCGGAGGACAACAUAACCACAACACGGAACACGGUGUGUUACUGGAAAAAUGCCCUGUAGAUAACGAACACGUUGGAGACUGUCUCCAAAGCCAAAAAAGUAAAUACACAAACAUCUGCCACCCUUGAUUCAUCGCACAAAUCUGCGAUAUCCCGCAACGCCGUCGCGAUAGGACUGUUCAUAGAAAACCCCUCUUGUGUGUGAAAGAACAGUAAAAUUAUAUAUCAAAGUAUAGUAUAUUGUCAAGAGUCUAAAAACUGGGGCGGGAUGCAACAAAAGUUUGUCUGGCAACUGUUUACCAAAAACACAGCUCCCUGCGAACUCGUAAGAGGAUGUAUAGGGGGUGACACCUGACCAAUGCCAGAAGGUCAAAUAACGAUGGUGCUAUGGAGCAAUCUGUAUUGCUGGUUGUUAUAAGCCCUGGUGAAUGUCGGCCGUAACUAUAGACAAGCCGUUGUAGUUACGAAAAUAAAUCUGACCAUAUGCUGGAAACCCCGCAAUGAAUCCCGCAGUACUGCGCAAGCAGUGACAAUCUGUCGAGUGAUGCGGACAAUCAGCAGGAAAGGCCCGCCUUUAGCGGGAAUCCUCAGAGACUAGAUGUCAGAUAUGAAUGAGACAAAAUUGGAGCCGAUGUCUCAAACAUAAAGGUAUAGUCCGGCCCCUUAAGCGAUUAAGGGUCGUCACAAUACAGUAAUGAGUCUCGUGACGUAGAAAACAGACACAAACGGUCCUAAGGUUCUCGGCUCAACAAAAAUUGAACCGAGAAGGACUGGGACUGUUUGUGGGCGAUGAAAUACUCGCAAAAAGCUGCCUUGUUACACAGUAAUGUGUAAAUUAGUCCAAAUUACAUGGCUAUAUGCUGGGAAGUGAAUAAGUUCACGAUCAGCAGGAAAGACCCGCCUUAGGCGGGAAUCCUCAGAUACCAAACGCCGUGCUCCUACAGGGGUAGGAUGAAGAUAGAGUACUUCGCACAAAGGAAGUGAAUAGCGAAAUUCCUUGUCGGGUAGGAAUCUGCCCGUGCCGAGAGCGAUCUCGGUAACACAAAAUCGGCUAAUAACGGUGAAGCCCUACGUGGAGCCAUGCAUUCAAGAGCAUGGUGAUGAAACGAGGGUAAUACCGUGGGAAGUUGUAAUUAAGCUCCUCGUAGCAUAGAAUGAUUCUAUGAGAAAUCCAGAGUUUCGUCGUUCAGAAUUCGAUUUAGAAGCAGAGAGACAAGAGAAUAUUCGAAAAUUAGAAGGGGAAAUAUCAUCUCUCGAAUUCGAAGCUGAAAAAUUGAAAGAGAAAAAACGAACAAAAGAUGAGGAAAAUAGGUUGAAGGAGGUUCAAGAUCUUUUAGCAGAAAAAAGAGCCGAACUUUCUCGACUGCGAGGUUACUAACCCCGUAUCGACUUUAGUUGUUGGCAAUUUGUCGCAACUAGGAUGGAGCGUCAUUGGAAUGCAAAUUCGCAAUGCCUUCAUAAUACGCCGACGCUGAUGACACUGGUCAUCAGAUGAAGAUAUAGUCAGUGCCAAUAGAAAUAUUGGAAGAACAUGAAGUUCCGACGCGCACGAAUGGUGUAAUGACUGGACAACUGUCUCGGGAAACAGCUCGGUGAAAAUACAAUGGGGGUGAAGAUGCCCUCUACCUGUAGCUAGACGAAAAGACCCCAGGAGCUUUACUGUAGCUUGAUAUUGCGUAUACGCGGCCACUGCGUAGCAUAGAUGGGAGAGGUUGAAGCGAAUCUUUCGGGACUCGUGGACUCGUCAGUGAAAUACCAUUCUUUGUUUGUGUAUAUGCUAACCUCAACGGCAAAAAUGUUGGGAGACAGUAUCUGGCGGGCAGUUUAAGUGGGGCGCUUUCCUUGGCUCAAUCAGGCGGCUGGUUGGGCCAAGCCAAGGCGCCCCCAGAAUGAUCAUCAGACAUUCAAAACAAAAAAUUUAGGGGGUACUGCAAUCGCAGUAGGCAUUCAGUUAUAUGCUGGAAUAUCUGUGGCGAAAAGCCUGGAGAAGUGAUACCACCGCGUGUCGAAACGGGUAAAAGUGUACCACUGGCAGACAACCAGCAGGAGACUCAAUAUCGAGGAUCCUCAGAGACUACAGGCUGAAUCCGCAAUAUGGCGGAAAAAUAUAGUCCGAUCUUU
rnacentral:ncRNA from 1 species